rnacentral:rRNA from 1 species
AGUGAACGCUGGCGGUAGGCCUAACACGUGCAAGUCGAACGGCAGCACAGUAAGAGCUUGCUCUUACGGGUGGCGAGUGGCGGACGGGUGAGGAAUACAUCGGAAUCUACUUUUUCGUGGGGGAUAACGUAGGGAAACUUACGCUAAUACCGCAUACGACCUACGGGUGAAAGCAGGGGAUCUUCGGACCUUGCGCGAUUGAAUGAGCCGAUGUCGGAUUAGCUAGUUGGCGGGGUAAAGGCCCACCAAGGCGACGAUCCGUAGCUGGUCUGAGAGGAUGAUCAGACACACUGGAACUGAGACACGGUCCAGACUCCUACGGGAGGCAGCAGUGGGGAAUAUUGGACAAUGGGCGCAAGCCUGAUCCAGCCAUACCGCGUGGGUGAAGAAGGCCUUCGGGUUGUAAAGCCCUUUUGUUGGGAAAGAAAAGCAGCAGGUUAAUACCCCGCUGUUCUGACGGUACCCAAAGAAUAAGCACCGGCUAACUUCGUG